GAGUCGUGUUAUAGAACAAAGGAGAGAAGUUACGUCGGCUAACCUCUUGCCCUUUUGUCUGGGAAGUUGCCACGAAGUCCAUCAUCGUCGUGUUACACUUUGAUAUACCCGGAGCAACGGUCAGGUUUUUUUUUUUAGGACGGAUGUUGUCCAGAACCAACAUCUUGCUGAUUUCGAUGGCGAGCCAAGUCCACUGAGGAAAGUCCAGCACCGAUUUCCCUAUUCACCCCCACAUAAUACUUACCUUACAAGUAUCUUUGGAACAAGGUGAACUGCACAACCUCUACAGCAAAUACACCGGAAACUAUUUUUUAAAUUUUUGUUUAAGGGCCCGACGGACAUUCUUUUAUUUUCUAGUGUGCACACUACUACUUUUAUUUUUGUAACUUUUGGGGGUUAUUCCACAUUUUGUACAAACCGAACAGGUCAACUGUCAAGUGUAAACAAUAUAAGAGUGGCUACUCAACUGUUACUCUUGUGUCUGCCUUAUUUUUGAUGCUCAGUACCGUGGCUCCUGUCGAAUUUGGUAUCUUCUGAUUCUGGUCCAGGGUCCAUUACUAGUAGAGGCUAUUAUUAUACUGUAAUUCACUUUUAUAUCGUUAAAAUUGGUUACAUUUGCUACUGUGUCUCCUCAAUCUCAGAGUCUUUGAUUAUUCCCUGUCUAAAGUUGUCUUUGUUUUUGUCAGUCAUCUGUCCUGUCCGAUCCGGUCCUGUCCUGUCUGGUCCGGUCCUGUCCAGCUGGCUGUGGACUGGCUUCACCUCAAUACUAUCAGAGCUCUGGUCAUUAUCUUCUCAGUGUCUUCACCUCUCUGGUCAACCGUCAUCUGGGGCUGGACUCAGUCUCCUCUCAGCCUGACUACUGUCUGGACUGUGUUCACUUCUCUCAUCUAGUCUACCUGUUUCUUAAAUAAAGCUGUUGACACUCA